UUACUAAUAGGUUAUAUGAUAAACUAGUAGAUUGUGGUUCUAUUGAAUACUUGUUAAAUGAUUAUAGUAUUAGUAAA
rnacentral:tRNA from 1 species